UACGUAGGGGGCGAGCGUUGUCCGGAAUUAUUGGGCGUAAAGAGCGUGUAGGCUGUUCGGUAAGUCUGCCGUGAAAACCUGAGGCUCAACCUCGGGCGUGCGGUGGAUACUGCCGGGCUAGAGGACGGUAGAGGCGAGUGGAAUUCCCGGUGUAGCGGUGAAAUGUGUAGAGAUCGGGAGGAACACCGGUGGCGAAGGCGGUCUUCUGGACGGUGACUGACGCUGAGGCGCGAAAGCGUGGGGAGCAAACGGG
rnacentral:rRNA from 1 species